rnacentral:piRNA from 1 species
UCCUUCAGGUCCAUUACCCUCUC